AAAACGGGCUUCUGUCGUGAGUGGCACACAUGGGGCAACUCACUGCUCUUCCUGUGGAAUCAACAUCAGGAAAUUGCAGAAGCAUCAUUGUUUGGUAUGUGGGCAGCUGGUGAUCAUUGGUCCCAGCACCCAU
ensembl:snRNA